rnacentral:rRNA from 1 species
UACGUAGGGUGCAAGCGUUGUCCGGAAUUACUGGGCGUAAAGAGCUCGUAGGUGGUUUGUCGCGUUGUUCGUGAAAUCUCACGGCUUAACUGUGAGCGUGCGGGCGAUACGGGCAGACUAGAGUACUGCAGGGGAGACUGGAAUUCCUGGUGUAGCGGUGGAAUGCGCAGAUAUCAGGAGGAACACCGGUGGCGAAGGCGGGUCUCUGGGCAGUAACUGACGCUGAGGAGCGAAAGCGUGGGGAGCGAACAGG